rnacentral:rRNA from 1 species
CUAAGUUUGAUGGCGACCGGCGCACGGGUGAGUAACACGUAUCCAACCUGCCGAUGACUCGGGGAUAGCCUUUCGAAAGAAAGAUUAAUACCCGAUGGCAUAGUUCUUCCGCAUGGUGGAACUAUUAAAGAAUUUCGGUCAUCGAUGGGGAUGCGUUCCAUUAGGUUGUUGGCGGGGUAACGGCCCACCAAGCCUUCGAUGGAUAGGGGUUCUGAGAGGAAGGUCCCCCACAUUGGAACUGAGACACGGUCCAAACUACUACGGGAGGCAGCAUG